UAUCCCAGUUUAAAUACAUUAAACAUUUGAGAAAUUAUAUCAACUUGAAAAAUAACAAGUGCAAGAUAAUUUAGGUAUUUAUCCUUCAUAAUAUAUGUUAAUUUCUGUGUGUAUAAGAGGGUUAUGUCAGAAGGCGGAGCUUAACACAGAAACACAUUAGUUCAGUGAUCAGCAUCACAUACAGCAUCACUCAGGCAAGCAGCAGCUACCAUCAUGUUCACUUGUGUCCUGAUAUUGCUGACUUUAACAGAAGGUAACAGAGCUAAAGAGGUCAUCACUCCAUACAGUGAUGCAGCAUUUGCCACUGAGACCGAGAGUGUGAAACUCUCUUGUAACUACAGCGGUUCUGUUGAUAGUCUUCACUGGUAUCGACAAUAUGCAGGUUCACCACCACAGUUCCUCAUACUGGAAACCUAUGGAACAGUUACUCCCGCUGAUCCUCCAGUUCCUGGAAUAUCCAUCAGUCACAGAAAAGAAGACAAAAGUGUGUAUCUGAUCAUCUCCUCUGCUGUAUCAGACUCUGCUCUGUAUUACUGUGCUCUGAGGCCCACAGUCACAGGAAACACAAGAACACUGUACAAAAACCUGUUACAAUGAGAGAAACACAGAGAUAGUGGGA